CUUUAGUGUUAUAGUGAUGCGCGCGCAUGUUAAAAUUUCACUCUCAUCAUUUUUUCAUAACGCGCCUAAAGAAGUAUAACAAAAACAUGGAUUACAAUGUAAUAUCGUAGUUGGUUUUCUCUUUGGUUGCAACUUGUUGGGGCAAAGCGGCCGAAAAGAGAAGUGCGUUUGGAUGGGACACGGGACUUUCGUUGCAACAACCGCACGACAAUAUCGUCCAGCUCACUCCUUUGAAAAAUCUACAUGAAGCUGCCGAAUCAAGUUCAGACGUGGCUGGGGCGAUAGCAGCGGCAAAAGCAGCAGCGUCCGCUGUUAUGGCAGCACAGCGUCAGGUUGCUGCAGCUAAACAUGCAGCGCUUGAAGAACAAAGCUUUGCAAGCUCAAAGGAAGCUGAGGCUGCUCAUGCUGCCCACAGAAGUGAGGAAGCCGCCCGCAUAGCCCGUGCCCACGCACUCCAGGCGGCACAAGCGGCAGUGCACGCCCAGGCACAGCUGGCUUCUGCGAAGGCCAGGGCUGCAGCAGCUCAGAGGAUCGCUGCCGCCCGCGAGGCGGCUGCUGCCAGAGCAAUCCAGCGCGCUGCUGAAAACCAAGCUGCUAAGCUGCAAAGUGCAGACCUGGAAGCCCUGAAACUGUCUGUUCUACAAAGUUCUGGAGCAGCUGGCGCAGCUAGUGCUGCCCAACACGCCGCAUCAGCAGCUGCUGCAGCUCUCAAGCCCUGGAAUCCGUCAUGGAAUGGUUGGAAUCCUGGAUAUGCAGCAUCCAAAGGGCCCUGGUCUUGGUCUUAGGUUAACUAAUAGAACAAGGAUCAUCGUAUAGAAACAUGUUUUUAAUACCGGAUUUUAAGAAAUUUAUUUUGUAUGUUACAAUAUAGGUCCUUAACUUUUCUAAUUCAAUUUCGUAACAUCUGAAAUGUUAGGUUUUACCUUUAUCAAAGUAUAAUAGAACUAAGUAUCUUAUGACUCAACAUGUUUGUUAUAGUUCUGGAAACUAAAAAUUUUAGGAAUUGCGAUUAAAUAGCUGGUACACACCUAAACAGAUAUUUGAGUAGACAGUAGAGACAUUGAAAUAUUUUUUUAUUAAUUCGUUUUAAAAUCUACGUUACUACGUUAUUCCAAAUUGUAAACAAAGUCAUACGCCUGAAACUUUGUUUUUGACACAACAUUCUUCAAUAGGAGCAAAUAUCAGCUAAUAAUUUGUCAGAACAAUGUCGAAAGUAAAAGUUUUAAUAUAGUUUUUCAUUAAUUCCACUGAAAAAGAUUAGUAAGAUAUUUAGGAUAUUAUCUCUAAUUGCAAUUUAUGUUUGUAAGUUUGACUGAAGAAUCUGACGUCCUUAAAAUAAGACAAUAAUUUUUGCGUCUGUUAUCUUUUUCACGCCUGUCCUUAUCUUGAAACAUUUAUUUCAUAAGUUAACUGGUCUAAUUUUAUUUUAAUAAACUGUUUAUUAUGUA